GUUUGAAUGUAGACAUGCGUUUAGCUUUUCUCAACCAGUCACUGAGAUACGUGAACGGUUUGUCUAUUUUGCAGGAUCAUGGAAUAUUCAAUGUAGUCGUUGAUUCUUUUGACACAGCAUUAAGAUAAGCAUACGAAGUUAAACGUACUAAUUACUUCGGGGUUGGUUACCCGAAUAAGUGAGACUCGAAAUAUCGACCAUGAACUGGAAAAAAGACUCACAAACACGGGACGAUAGUCGAUACACAGAGGUCAGACGCCAAAAUAUAGGAUAUAGGACAAGCUGAAAGAUAUGUUCAAAUGAAGUGCUGAAUAUUUACGUGGCCCGUAUUUGGUAAUCUUGGAUCGUACUUUACUUUUGAAAAUAAAUUAGAUUAGUUUUUAACUUUUUUCCAGUUUCUUUCCUUGUACUGGAGUGUAACGAUUCGAAAAGCAGUGCGGCGAAAACUGAUAAUUAAUUAUAUCAUUCAGAUCAUAACUUUUUGAGAUGAAAAAUAUCAAAUUUCAAGUAGUCGCAUUUGAUAUAUACCUUUUGCAUUUGUGUCACUUCAGAUAAUUCAAUCAGAGUUAAACUGAACUAUGAACUGCAGAUUAGUCUCACUCUUUAAUUUGUCGAAUGUUUUUUGGGCUUUGACCUAAUGUCUCCAAAUUUCCUUAACUUUACCGGAGUAGAUUGCCUCUGCCAUAUUACUUAACUGCAGCCGAUGAUUUAUUAAUAUUUACUCUGCCAGCUCGUAUUUAUUCAUUGUUUUUUGAUUGUUUUGAAAAUGCCGCCGGAAUGUCAUAUGUUAUUGUUUCAUGAACUCAUGAUUGUGGGGAAAAAGUCAUAAUUAUGAAAUAUAAAGGUAUGUAACAAGUCAUAAAAUUAUUAAUGAUCUGUAUAAUAAGAACAAUAAUGUUUCAACACGUGUUUACAUUUCCUGUACGUUGACAAUAGGUUCACGUAAGUUAUUUAGGAGAAUUCUUUUCAUUUAGUUUGCAAUAGCCAGCAUUGUUGUAUAGGUUUUUCCACUUUAAUCUCAAAUUCGAAACAGCGGGGUCAGAUGAUUCCUCAAUGUUUUAUUUUUUUGUGAAAACAUUUUUUUCAAAUUCUUUUUCAAGAAUUCUAUACAUACAAGUAUUAAUUUUGUCAAUGUAUUGCAAUAGUACGUUAGGUUUGUUAUCCCAAUUGACUAGCACAUAUAAAGUAUGCUUUAAAAUAAAUUUUGUUUUACUCUUGUCAGAAGUGAAGUCUUGUUGAGUUUACCUUUCCUAUUACAGAUUUCUUUUGUUUCCAAGUAAAUAAAAAAUAAGAAUCUAACUAAAAGCUUGUUAUGAGUAAUACAGAUGGAUUGUUUUCAAUUUAUUAUAUAAAUCCAUCAGAAUAGUGUAAUAUAUAUUACAUUUUUUUAAUGACAUAGCUCAUUUUGCUACAAUUACGAAUUUUCAGAAUAAACAAAUGAAA